rnacentral:rRNA from 1 species
GUAGUCAUAUGCUUGUCUCAAAGAUUAAGCCAUGCAUGUCUAUGCACAAGCCGAUUAAUGGUGAAGCCGCGAAUGGCUCAUUACAACAGCCACUGUUUACUUGAUCUUGACUAUCCUACUUGGAUAACUGUGGUAAUUCUAGAGCUAAUACACGCAAUAAAGCUCCGACCUUACGGGACGAGCGCAUUUAUUAGACCAAAACCAAUCGGGCUUCGGCCUGAGCCGUUGGUGACUCUGAAUAACUGAGCUGAUCGCAUGGUCUUUGUACCGGCGACGCAUCUUUCAAGUGUCUGCCUUAUCAACUUUCGAUGGUAGUUUAUGUGCCUACCAUGGUUGUUACGGGUAACGGAGAAUAAGGGUUCGACUCCGGAGAGGGAGCCUGAGAAACGGCUACCACAUCCAAGGAAGGCAGCAGGCGCGCAAAUUACCCACUCUCGGCACGAGGAGGUAGUGACGAAAAAUAACGAGGCGGUUCUCUAUGAGGCCCGCUAUCGGAAUGGGUACAAUUUAAACCCUUUAACGAGGACCUAUGAGAGGGCAAGUCUGGUGCCAGCAGCC